rnacentral:lncRNA from 1 species
CACGACGUUGUAGAAGAAAACGAAAUAUUUAAGAAAUCCACAAACCUUUAGAAGCUGAUGGGAAACUCGGAUCAGUGCUAAGCUUGUCCCAAACGGCAAAUAAAUUCAAAUCUUUUCAGUACUCAACAUGAAAACCUAAAAGAGCGAUAUAACUGACAAUCAAAUGGACGAAGUUAAUUAGAAUAUUCUAAUGAGUUUUAGAACGCUUUAAACACUAAGAUAGCGGAUACAACGCGGACGCGAAUGUUGUAAAUAGCGCCGAGCGACGCGGACGCGACUGAAAGAACAGUCGCUAAUAAUGGGAGACUAGUUUUACUUUGUGAUAUUUGCUGUGAUGUACUCAGGUGAAUAAGAUGCUUGUGUGAUGUUACUCUGAGUAAAAUCACACAAGCAUCAGGCAUAUUUUUCAAGCCUGCCCGGUGUGGAUAUACACUCAGAGUAUAUUUUCUCGUGUCCCUGGCUUUGUUUACACCAACAACAAUCCAUAGUUUUUACCCGUCAGGCGAAACUGUGAUAAUAGCGGCAGUUUUUCGUCACGUCCGCGUCGUAGGUAUGUUAAGCUCCCUGAUGGCUUGUGAUACGUCUUGAUGAGAACAUUCGUAUUCUUUAACAAUUUCAAAUAAAUAAAUGAUAUUUGGUGAGAAAAUUGAACUUAAAGUUUAUGUGAAUUAGCAUGAUUUUGUAUCAGAUAUACAAACUCCUUCACGCUCAUGAUUUCUUUUGUGUUUUCUUCAUGAAUUAUUAAUGACUUUCACAACUGUUUGCUAUCAAAUCUGCACCGUCGCCGACGUAUAAUAUCUCUACUGGUAAAUUCUCACCGACAAUCUUUUCACUGAUAUUAUAGUUAGAUGAGUCAGGAAACCUAUACCAUUGAUGUUCCGCAAACGUUCAAAACUAUCUGUGUAAAAUGUCAUUCUCAUCGUUUUUUGCCUGGUGUUUCUGUUAAAAUAGUAAUUUAUUAUCGUAUAAUAAAUCAUUCUUGGCUGGUCUGUCAUCAAGUGUACCAUUUGUAUCAAUUAGCUAGGUUUGGUUGUCCACUGAUAAUGGAGCGAGGGCUCAGCUGUGGGUCUUACCUGAUAAGGCCAAAUAAAAAAAUACUUGGUUGGCGUCACACUCUCACAAAUUUUCAGAGGCGGACGGGCGUUGUUUUUGUUUAAUUUUUACUCGUUUUUUAAAUUUUUUAAUAGUAUUUUUUUGGGGGGAAGGGGGGCGGUUUUUCCAGGCAUCAACUAUUUCACUGACCUCAGAAUGACAUUUCGUCAAAACUUUUUUCUUCAAGAUUGGUUUAGAAACCAAUUUGGAGUAGGGUUAGGUUAGGUUAGGGUUAGGAUUAAGGUUAGAGUUGGUGUUUGGAGUUGUGUUAGUAAAACCGUCGCUUUGUUACGUUUUGGCACUCUGAGGCCAGCGAAAUAAUCUCUUCCGUUUUUCCACCAUUGAUGUUGCGAAGGCCGCCAUUUUGAUACAAGAACCUUGUACCCAGGCCCACGCGCUCCUAUCGAUCAGUUUAUAGCGCGAAGGUGCGAGCAUGAGGAAAAUUUCAAAUCUUAAACUGUUUUAAGCUGUAAAACGAAGAGAUUAACAUAGAAAAUAUUCAGAGGCGGCACAUGAGAAAUCGAGAGGCGGGCGGUGACGCUAACCAAGUUUUUUUUCUCAGUAUUUGGCCUAAGGUUGGUAAAUAAAAAUAAAUAAAAUUUUUAAAAAUAUGAGGUCAGUCAUCAUGAAACAGAAAUAAGGUUUUACGAUUACGCUUACCUAAAUACAUACUUAGGCUACAGACUAUUUUAUCUUCACAACAAUUGUGAUAUUACUUUCUUAACUGUGUUUAUCCUAACCCACCCUGUCAACUUUCCCUGUAGGACGA